UUUGCACGGGAAUGCAGUAGCGGUUACUGGUGGAUGCCGCUAUUUUCGUUAGUGUGAGUUUUCAUUCCAGACAUCUUGAGCUGGGGUUCAAAACCCACGUUUUCACAGGGAUCCAUCGGGCUUUCGGUGGCUUGGUUCCUUUCCUUUCCCCAGCUAUCGCCGGGAGAACGAGCGUCAGGUCUCUCCACCAAGCCCCAUCUCACAAAGCUCUCCGCUUAAGUUUAAUUCCGCUGGGACUUCCGUUGAGAGGGAAUAAUCGCCGCACGAGUGAUCUGCGUCGAGGUUCCCGAGGCUCCCGUCGGUCCUCAUUCGGGUGGAUUUCCAUAGC
rnacentral:sRNA from 2 species